rnacentral:rRNA from 1 species
AGUGAACGCUGGCGGUAGGCCUAACACAUGCGAGUCGAACGGCAGCACAGUAAGAGCUUGCUCUUACGGGUGGCGAGUGGCGGACGGGUGAGGAAUACAUCGGAAUCUACUUUUUCGUGGGGGAUAACGUAGGGAAACUUACGCUAAUACCGCAUACGACCUACGGGUGAAAGCAGGGGAUCUUCGGACCUUGCGCGAUUGAAUGAGCCGAUGUCGGAUUAGCUAGUUGGCGGGGUAAAGGCCCACCAAGGCGACGAUCCGUAGCUGGUCUGAGAGGAAGAUCAGCCACACUGGAACUGAGACACGGUCCAGACUCCUACGGGAGGCAGCAGUGGGGAAUAUUGGACAAUGGGCGCAAGCCUGAUCCAGCCAUACCGCGUGGGUGAAGAAGGCCUUCGGGUUGUAAAGCCCUUUUGUUGGGAAAGAAAAGCAGCAGGUUAAUACCCCGCUGUUCUGACGGUACCCAAAGAAUAAGCACCGGCUAACUUCGUG